GCGGGAGUGGUGAAAUGGCAGACACGCAGGAUUUAGGUUCCUGUGCCGAAAGGCGUGAGGGUUCGAGUCCCUCCUUCCGCA
rnacentral:tRNA from 5 species